rnacentral:rRNA from 1 species
AUGAACGCUAGCUACAGGCUUAACACAUGCAAGUCGAGGGGCAGCAUGAACUUAGCUUGCUAAGUUUGAUGGCGACCGGCGCACGGGUGAGUAACACGUAUCCAACCUGCCGAUGACUCGGGGAUAGCCUUUCGAAAGAAAGAUUAAUACUCGAUGGCAUAGUUCUUCCGCAUGGUAGAGCUAUUAAAGAAUUUCGGUCAUCGAUGGGGAUGCGUUCCAUUAGGUUGUUGGCGGGGUAACGGCCCACCAAGCCUUCGAUGGAUAGGGGUUCUGAGAGGAAGGUCCCCCACAUUGGAACUGAGACACGGUCCAAACUCCUACGGGAGGCAGCAGUGAGGAAUAUUGGUCAAUGGACGAGAGUCUGAACCAGCCAAGUAGCGUGAAGGAUGACUGCCCUAUGGGUUGUAAACUUCUUUUAUACGGGAAUAAAGUGAGGCACGUGUGCCUUUUUGUAUGUACCGUAUGAAUAAGGAUCGGCUAACUCCGUGCCAGCAGCCGCGGUAAUACGGAGGAUCCGAGCGUUUUCCGGAUUUAUUGGGUUUAAAGGGAGCGUAGGCGGACGCUUAAGUCAGUUGUGAAAGUUUGCGGCUCAACCGUAAAAUUGCAGUUGAUACUGGGUGUCUUGAGUACAGUAGAGGCAGGCGGAAUUCGUGGUGUAGCGGUGAAAUGCUUAGAUAUCACGAAGAACUCCGAUUGCGAAGGCAGCCUGCUGGACUGUAACUGACGCUGAUGCUCGAAAGUGUGGGUAUCAAACAGGAUUAGAUACCCUGGUAGUCCACACCGUAAACGAUGGAUACUAGGUGUAGGGGAUAUUAAAAUUCUCUGUGCCGCCGCUAACGCAAUAAGUAUCCCACCUGGGGAGUACGGCCGCAAGGUUGAAACUCAAAGGAAUUGACGGGGGCCCGCACAAGCGGAGGAACAUGUGGUUUAAUUCGAUGAUACGCGAGGAACCUUACCCGGGCUUGAAUUGCAACUGAAUGAUGUGGAGACAUGUCAGCCGCAAGGCAGUUGUGAAGGUGCUGCAUGGUUGUCGUCAGCUCGUGUCGUGAGAUGUUGGGUUAAGUCCCGCAACGAGCGCAACCCUUAUUGUUAGUUGCUACGCAAGAGCACUCUAGCGAGACUGCCGUUGACAAAACGGAGGAAGGUGGGGACGACGUCAAAUCAUCAUGCCCCUUAUGACCUGGGCUACACACGUACUACAAUGGCUAUAACAAAGAGAAGCGAGACAGUGAUGUGGAGCAAAACUCAAAAAAAUAGUCUCAGUUCGGAUUGAAGGCUGAAAUUCGCCUUCAUGAAGCUGGAAUUGCUAGUAAUGGCAGGUCAGCAUACUGCCGUGAAUACGUUCCCGGGCCUUGUACACACCGCCCGUCACACCAUGGGAGCCGGUAAUACCCGAAGUCAGUAGUCUAACCGCAAGGAGGACGCUGCCGAAGGUAGGAUUGGCGACUGGGGUG